rnacentral:rRNA from 1 species
AACGUAGGAGCCUAGCGUUAUCCGAAUUCACUGGGCGUAAAGCGCGUGCAGGCGGUUCGGUAAGUUGGAUGUGAAAUCUCCUGGCUCAACUGGGAGAGGACGUUCAAGACUGUCGGACUAGAGGACGGUAGAGGAAGGUAGAAUUCCCGGUGUAGUGGUGAAAUGCGUAGAUAUCGGGAGGAAUACCAGUGGCGAAGGCGGCCUUCUGGGCCGUUCCUGACGCUCAGACGCGAAAGCGUGGGGAGCAAACAGG